CAUAAGCUUUCGUAGUGACCUGCGGAGGUCAUUACCAAUAUCUGGGAUGAAAAGACACAAGCUCCCGAUAAAGCACAUUCGUGCUUAUCCUCCCAUGUUGCUUCCCCAGGCCAGUGGCCAUUGCUGCCAGCCAGGCCCUUAUUCGGUGACUUGGUUGAGGCGCCUGGGGAAGGGCCAAUCAUCAAACUUUACAUUAACUUACUGUCUGAGAAGGCCAUGUGCCGUAAUCUUUAAACAUGUUAAAACUUUCAACAACGGAUCUCUUGGCUCUCGCAUCGAUGAAUAACGCACCGAAAUGCGAUAAUGAAUGUGAAUUGCAGAAUUCAGUGAAUCAUCAAAUCUUUGAACGCACAUUGCGCCCUUUGGUAUUCCUUAGGGCAUGCCUGUUCGAGCGUCACUAAAACCCAGAUCACCUAGAGUGUGGUAUUGGCAGAAGUGGGUAGGGCUAUCAGGGCCCACUCCCACCCUGCUGGAAUGAAUAGGCUGGAAAAGUAAAUCAUAGCAACAGACUUUCAGAGUAUUUUGAGAUGCUAAAUUAGUUUGAAGCUGGAUUGAAACCCAGGCCAUUUGACCCCCAUCCUGUGUAAAGCAGUAAGGUUGACCUCGGAUCAGGUAGGGAUACCCGCUGAACUUAAGCAUAUCAAU
rnacentral:rRNA from 1 species